GCCUGGAUGGCUUAGUGGUUGAGCAUCUGUCUUUAGUUCAGAUCGUGAUCCCAGGAUCGUGAGAUGGAGUCCCACAUUGGGCU
rnacentral:tRNA from 1 species